UACAGAGACUGCGAGCGUUAUUCGGAUUCACUGGGCGUAAAGGGUGCGCAGGCGGCCAAGUGUGUGAGGUGUGAAAGCCCGGGGCUUAACCCCGGAAUUGCACCUCAAACUACAUGGCUAGAGCAUUGGAGAGGGUAGCAGAAUUCACGGUGUAGCAGUGAAAUGCGUAGAUAUCGUGAGGAAUACCAGAGGCGAAGGCGGCUACCUGGACAAUUGCUGACGCUCAGGCACGAAAGCGUGGGGAGCAAAAGGG
rnacentral:rRNA from 1 species